ACGUACACUCCUGCGGGAGGCAGCAGUGGGGAAUAUUGGACAAUGGGCGCAAGCCUGAUCCAGCCAUGCCGCGUGAGUGAUGAAGGCCCUAGGGUUGUAAAGCUCUUUUGUGCGGGAAGAUAAUGACGGUACCGCAAGAAUAAGCCCCGGCUAACUUCGUGCCAGCAGCCGCGGUAAUACGAAGGGGGCUAGCGUUGCUCGGAAUCACUGGGCGUAAAGGGUGCGUAGGCGGGUCUUUAAGUCAGGGGUGAAAUCCUGGAGCUCAACUCCAGAACUGCCUUUGAUACUGAAGAUCUUGAGUUCGGGAGAGGUGAGUGGAACUGCGAGUGUAGAGGUGAAAUUCGUAGAUAUUCGCAAGAACACCAGUGGCGAAGGCGGCUCACUGGCCCGAUACUGACGCUGAGGCACGAAAGCGUGGGGAGCAAACAGGAUUAGAUACCCCAGUAGUCCCAUGA
rnacentral:rRNA from 1 species